GCCUCUGAAGCUUAGUGGCAGAGCAUUGGACUUGUGAGCCAGGGGUCGCGAGUUCAAGCCUCACAGGAGGCA